rnacentral:rRNA from 1 species
UACGGGGGGGGCAAGCGUUGUUCGGAAUUACUGGGCGUAAAGGGCGUGUAGGCGGCCUUUUAAGUCAGACGUGAAAACCCUGGGCUUAACCCAGGAACUGCGUUUGAAACUGGAGGGCUUGAGGACCGGAGAGGGUAGUGGAAUUCCCAGUGUAGCGGUGAAAUGCGUAGAUAUUGGGAGGAACACCAGUGGCGAAGGCGACUGCCUGGACGGCACCUGACGCUGAGGCGCGAAAGCUAGGGGAGCAAACGGG